GAUGAACGCUGGCGGCGUACCUAAUACAUGCAAGUCGAGCGAACAGACGAGGAGCUUGCUCCUCUGACGUUAGCGGCGGACGGGUGAGUAACACGUGGAUAACCUACCUAUAAGACUGGGAUAACUUCGGGAAACCGGAGCUAAUACCGGAUAAUAUAUUGAACCGCAUGGUUCAAUAGUGAAAGACGGUUUUGCUGUCACUUAUAGAUGGAUUCGCGCCGCAUUAGCUAGUUGGUAAGGUAACGGCUUACCAAGGAGACGAUGCGUAGCCGACCUGAGAGGGUGAUCGGCCACACUGGAACUGAGACACGGUCCAGACUCCUACGGGAGGCAGCAGUAGGGAAUCUUCCGCAAUGGGCGAAAGCCUGACGGAGCAACGCCGCGUGAGUGAUGAAGGUCUUCGGAUCGUAAAACUCUGUUAUUAGGGAAGAACAAAUGUGUAAGUAACUAUGCACGUCUUGACGGUACCUAAUCAGAAGGCCACGGCUAACUACGUG
rnacentral:rRNA from 1 species